rnacentral:lncRNA from 1 species
CUCUCGCAUCUAGCGAUUCCCAUCCUUCUAGGUGUGUUCCACAAAUUGCUUUUUGUCUUCUUUUAUUCAUUUGUUUUUGCUUCGUUUCCUGAAGACAUACUAUUGAGCAUAUGGAUUGUUUGAUUGUUUCCUUAACUGCUCUUUUCUUCUUAGAAUCCCCAGUUCCUCCAGUGUUCCAGCUGAGUAUCAUCCGUUACAUGGGUAUAACAUUUCAGUUAUGGGCAGGAGGAGGAGAAAAUAGGAGUUAUAUUUCAGAGAUGCAAGUAGAGUAGAUACAUUGCUCCAGAGCAGACCAUCAGCAUCCC